GUUCAUAUUCACUUCAGCCGCACAUAUACUAAUAUUGGAAGAGAGAAAAUUAGCAUGGCCCCUGAACAAGGAUGACAUGCAAAUUUGGGAAGUGUUCCAUAUUUUU
ensembl:snRNA Gm22681 predicted gene, 22681